rnacentral:rRNA from 2 species
CAACAGGGAUUGCCUCAGUAACGGCGAGUGAAGCGGCAACAGCUCAAAUUUGAAAUCUGGCUCCUUUGGGGUCCGAAUUGUAAUUUGUAGAGGAUGCUUCGGCGUUGGCGCCGCCCAAAGUUCCUUGGAACGGGACGUCAUAGAGGGUGAGAGCCCCGUGUCCGGGCGGAUGCCUUUGCCGUGUGAAGCUCCUUCGACGAGUCGAGUUGUUUGGGAAUGCAGCUCAAAAUGGGAGGUAAAUUUCUUCCAAAGCUAAAUACCGGCCGGAGACCGAUAGUGCACAAGUAGAGUGAUCGAAAGAUGAAAAGCACUUUGGAAAGAGAGUCAAACAGCGCGUGAAAUUGUUGAAAGGGAAGCGCUUGCGGCCAGACUUGGCCGUCGUUGCUCGGCGGGACUUCUGCCCCGUUUGUUCUUCGGCGGCUGGGCCAGCAUCGGCUCGGGCGGCUGGAUAAAGGCCGCGGGAAUGUAGCUCCUCGGAGUGUUAUAGCCCGCGGUGGAAUGCAGCCUGCCUGGGUCGAGGUCUGCGCAUCUGCUAGGAUGCUGGCGUAAUGGCCUCAAGCGGCCCGUCUUGAAACACGGACCAAGGAGUCUAACAUUCGUGCGAGUGUUCGGGUGUCAAACCCGUGCGCGUAAUGAAAGUGAACGGAGGUGGGAACCCUCACGGGUGCACCAUCGACCGAUCCUAAUGUCUUCGGAUGGAUUUGAGUAUGAGCACGUAUGUUGGGACCCGAAAGAUGGUGAACUAUGCCUAAGCAGGGCGAAGCCAGAGGAAACUCUGGUGGAGGCUCGCAGCGGUUCUGACGUGCAAAUCGAUCGUCAAAUUUGGGUAUAGGGGCGAAAGACUAAUCGAACCAUGCAGAUUG